AAUCAACGCUGGCGGCGUGCCUCAGACAUGCAAGUCGAACGCGAAAGUCCCCUUCGGGGGAUGAUUAGAGUGGCGCACGGGUGAGUAACACGUAGGUAAUCUACCUUCGAGUGGGGAAUAACUCAGGGAAACUUGAGCUAAUACCGCAUAAUGCAGCGGCACCACAUGGUGACAGUUGUUAAAGCAUUUAUGCGCUUGAAGAGGAGCCUGCGGCGGANAGCUAGUUGGUAAGGUAAUGGCUUACCAAGGCUACGAUCUGUAACCGGCCUGAGAGGGCGGACGGUCACACUGACACUGAAAUAAC
rnacentral:rRNA from 1 species